AACUAAGGAGCGGCUAUUUGCUAGUAUAAAACAAGGUAGUUGUAGCUGUUGCAAAACGCCCAUAAAAAAUAAUAUUUGUUUCUUGCAAAAUGUUUCCGUUUCGGAGCAAUAAACCCAACAUUUAUCCACAAUAAAACAGAUGAAAGAAUAAUAUUUAAAUUAAAUUUAAAAUAAACAUCCACAUUCAUUUAAUUCCCAAGCCGAUCAAUUGUUUUGUAAAGAGUGCCGUAUAAGUAUAAAAGCAAAAUACUUUCCAUGUUGAGUAUCAGUUAUCACCCCAAAAAGCAAAUAUGAAGUCAUUCGUGCUCUUACUCAAUAUUAUUCUUCUUUACAUUGCCUUGGCGAGUGCCCAAUCUUGCACUGUCAUAAGAAGGACUGUGUCUGCCGGUGAAAGAGUCUGCCAGCAAUAUUGUGGAACUGGAAAUAGACCAAUAUCAAUUUGCAAUACUAUUAGAAGGAGAUAUCGAGCCGAAAUUUGUCCAUCAGGAUGUUGCUGGGAUGGAAACAACUGUCGCAGAAGAUAAAUUGUAUGAAAAAAAACAA